rnacentral:lncRNA from 1 species
AGCUUUAACAACAACCACUGUUUGUUAGACACUAUGCCUAUGUUUGCUUGCCAGUGUGUGUCAAGAGGUGGAAGGAAGUGGUAAAUGAUGAGUUCAGUCUUCUUGAAUUAAGGAGUAUUUGGAACAUCCAAGACAGACUAUUUCAGCACACCUGGCCAAUGACACACCCUACCAACAGCUGUGCCAUUUUAGGUUCAAGCAGGACCUUUGUAACACUUAUAAAAACAAAGUUUGAAUUUUCAAAAAAGGGGAGAGUUGUUUCCCUCCAUGAAUCUGAGCAAAAAACCUCUCGCCAAGUCA